rnacentral:rRNA from 1 species
UACGGAGGGUGCAAGCGUUAUCCGGAUUCACUGGGUUUAAAGGGUGCGUAGGCGGAUUAGAAAGUCCGUUGUGAAAUCUCUGAGCUUAACUCGGAAAUUGCGGUGGAUACUAUUAGUCUUGAAUACUGUGGAGGUUAGCGGAAUAUGUCAUGUAGCGGUGAAAUGCAUAGAUAUGACAUAGAACACCAAUUGCGAAGGCAGCUGGCUACACAGAUAUUGACGCUGAGGCACGAAAGCGUGGAGAUCAAACAGG